UCUCUGUCUGUCUGUCUGUCUGUCUGUCUGUCUGUCUGUCUGUCUGUCUGUCUGUCUCUCUCUUUCUCUCUGCCUUCCCAUGUUCAUGUAUCUCUCUGUCAUUUCAACUUUGCCAUUUUCGACCAGGCCUAGAUCUAUAUAGUAUAUGUGCAUUUUACUGCUUGAAAAGCGCAGUUAAAAGUCACCCCGGCCUCUUUUGAAAUUACCCAGUCCUUGCCUGCAUGGGACAGCCUGCAAAAAAGCCCCCGAGAUAUCUUGCUUUGAUCGUCAAACAAAUGCUCAGACACGUUUUAAUGUUAUUAAAUCUGAUUAUAUAGCUAUAUUUUGUUUCAUUACGUUCAAGUAUUUAGUUACUUGAUGUUUAUCUUAUUAGGUAGUUCGGUUGUACCAGCCACGCACCCGCUUCUGACCGUGCGCGAUCGCCGUUGCCCGGGGAUCGAUACGUAUGCAUUUUAUUAUUACGCUAGCCUAUUACAGUUUAGCCUCUCAAUAACGACCUUCGAUAUAACGACAUCCUCUGUAGACAUGGAGCCCAGGUCCAGAUAUUUCCUAUACUAUAUAUAUCGUUAGUAAUUUUGGGUUGCCUCUCUAUGACGACAACUCUUUAUAACGACAUUUUCUUCUAGUCCCGACAUAGCCCGAUGUGCCAUUAUAGAGAGGCUGCACUGUAUAGCGAUAGCGAUGUGCCAUUAUAGAGAGGCUGCACUGUAUAGCGAUAGCGGCUUUAGUUCACGUCCAGGUGGGCCUUCUUGUUUGAAAGGCCAUUGAAAGGAGAGAGAGCGCUCUAGGCCUACAUCUUCACAACAAUGGUGUUUAUGUUUCGUGACGAUCGAUUGAGUGUUUCCAGUAGGGCCGAAGUAGCCUAGUCGCACAUCGGCGGUCGUCCGCCCCCGGGCUUCCCCGGUUCGCCUCACAGCCACGUGGUGUUCGUUUGGCCAAUUGGACAGGAGUACCCUAUUUUGAAGGGUCAUUUUUGCGUCAUAUCCGGUCAAUCCAAUCCAUUUUUAAAAGGCGCGGAGUUCCAGAGUUCCAGAUCGGAGUCGUAGAGAUAGAUCAAGAUUUAUGAAUGUUUGAAUUGUUUGCGUGACCGUCAGACGUCGGGUUUGUGAGCAGUAUCGAGUUGAAGUUCAAGAUUCUCUUCUAUUCAUGUGGCAGAUGCACAGUGUACAGAGACAACCUGAUCCUCAUUGAUGUCCAAUUCCCCCCCCCCCCCCCCCCCCCCCCAUUUUUAUGAGCAGUGAAGCAGUCGACUCUAUGAUUCCUUAUUCCUGUGGAUACACAGACUGAGACAGCCUGACUGAGGUCCAAUUUAUUCUUAUAAUCAGUGAAGCAGUCGACUCUACGGGUGGAUUUUGACAAGAUAGACGGGACAAGCAUUGGUGGGGAUGCUGCCUCUUCGGACACUGCAACACACAAAAUGACUACUGGAGUGCAAUUUGGAAACCAAUUGAUGCAGAAAUGUACAGUGGUCUGUGUGCCACAAUGAUUCAUCUUGGAAAAGGGAGGAAGCCAGACCCUCUGGAUGUUCCUGCUACCAACAAGAUUUUCGUAAUGCGUCACUUAGUUGGAGAACAAGGGAAAAUGAAAAGGAGUGGUUUCAGAAACUUUUUUCAAAACUCAUCUUUGACACCAUUUGUGUGGUCAGGAAGGUGUGAAUAUGGUGCAGAAAACACUGACUCUGGAAAGUGACAUUCUGUGUGGAUUUUUGCUGAGGCCACUGAAAGUGAACUGUGUCUUUUUUCCUGGAUGCUUGUGACAUUGACUGAACAAUGAAUAUUUUUAACCCCUUGUACUUGUUUAAUUAAGUUGGAAAUGAAAGCUUGACGUACGAAAAUGUUAUAGAUCUCAUUCAUUAUUUGUCCAAAGAGAGGCAGAUAGAUAAUGAGGUUAGUUUUUUGUACCUGUGUGGGUCAAAUUAAUUUGCAAUGUCUGCAUCAUAGUUGCAAAACUCAGAUCUUUUGUUUAUUGAAUACAACCAUAAUUUGCUAAAGGACACAAAAAAGAAAAAUAGUACAACUCCAACUGUUCAGGAGCUUUUAUCAAAGAAAAUUUUUAUGAACACAAACACAAUUGACGAACAGGCCGCUACUUCGAAAACAUAACUACACAACCCCCCUGAUAUUGUUAACGCAAAUAUUAAGACAUGUCCAAAGCUGGUAAUUGAAUGCACUGAAUGCUGCCCGAUAAAAUAAAAUCUUUAGAGUCUCCUCAGUAGGAUGGAGCAGGUAAAUGCUUUUCUCCAGAAUGAAAAAGGAAAAAUUGAGCUGCGGAUGGUGAAAUGAAAGAACAAGAAGAAUGAAUGAAAAUCAGAUAGGAGUUAUAUCAAGCUGUCACAGAAAAUGAAA